ensembl:lncRNA
CAACAUCACAGUUUGCAUUAACAUGAAACAGUCCAGUGAGGAGAGAAAUUAAUUCCUGAGUCACAAACUUCCAAGCAGGUUGCUUCGGGCGCAGGCUCUGCAGACUGGUUGACUUGGCUCAGAUUCUUGGUGUUUUUAUUCCCCGGGCAACCUCAACAAUGCUCGCAGACUGUCCUGGAGGACAACACUGUUAAUGCAGACAUGCUGUCACCGUUCCAGAUGUUAACUCUGAUUGUCCUCAGGGCUUUGUGUGUGUAUUGUACAGGUCAUCUAGAGCAACCUCAAAUUUCCAGUACCAAAAAGCUGUCUAACAGCCCGCCUGGAAUGUAACAAUUUUUACCACAUCUGUAUAUUGGUGUCAAGAAAGACCUGGUUAAGCCAUGCAGCACCUGCUACACAUUUUCUCUAACACCGUCAAAAGGGAAGCAGGCAUUCUGUUGAGCAAGUUUGAGGCAGACAGGAUACCUGAAACUUCUACAUCGACCCUCACUGUUCACAAUGCACGGGGACGAGACUCUGCCACCUAUUACUGUGCCCUCUGGGAUGUGCACAGUAGAAGACAUUAGAGUCAUGCCAUUCAAUAAAUGAUUCUUGGGUUUUCAUCCACUGUCGUGAGUUAGGAAACCACAGUUACCACCUGUAUGCAUCUGUGCAGUUUUCUAGGUAAGCUUUUAUGUGGGUAACUCUGCAAAGUUGCCAAAUCCCACAUUUUCUCAAAGAGGAAGCUUUGUGCUCUAUAACACAGGGAGCCCAGCC